AUUAUACAGUGCGCGAAUGUAGUGAUUUCCUAAGCGAUUACAUAAAUAACUAGAUUUUAUACAGCUAUUAAGAAACGAUUUGAUAGCUGGAAAAACGUUACAUGUCUUUUUUUUCACGAAUUCGGUUUUUGAUAUAUAAACGAUCUUGCUUGAUCGAAUCCAACCUUGAAGUAGUUAGUUUCCAAACCGCUAGAUAGCGUAUAACAAACCAUUCUUAGUUUUUGAAAUGGAUCAAAUGUACAUAAAGAUUCCACAAUCUGCUUUGGAACGAAUGAGAGAUUUGUACAUCUGUAGCAGGGUUUUUGCAUUGAAGGUGAACCAAUGUUUUUAAAAUGUAUGUCCGUAGCACACAAUUCUCUUUGAUAUGAUCCUUCCAGGCUAGUCUACUAUCAAAGGAACACAUCGAUGAUUUUCAACCAUCGAUGUUUACUAAAUGAAAAAAAAUCGAUGGCAAAUAUCGAUGUUUUGUCUACCGAUAUCCAUUCCUACGGCUCCGCCUAUGACAUUGACCAUCAAUUGAAUAUUCGAGGUCAGAUAAUUAUACGAACCGCCGGCAUAUACCCCCACUUUUACUAUACUGAGUUCUGAAUCAGGUUGUGUAUGAUUUUUUGGUACCAGCAGUAUUCAGUUCUCAUCAUUCCAAAUUAAAGACAGAAUAAUUGUGGAAGCCUGUUGCACAUAUUGUUUAUAAAGAAAAACAUUAAUAGUUAGCAAUGGAUCAGUAGUGUUAGAGUUAUUUAUUUUGUCAUGGAUCACAAUCUCAAUUCCGAUAAUGCUAAACUACCAAUAACUCAUCAACCUAUUCAACAGCCUCUUGAAAAAUUCCCGUUAAAGAACGAAACUAUUGAAAAUGUUGAAAAUCAUCAACAAUCUGAAGAAAAUACUUGUUUGUUGUUACUUGAGUUUUGUGAGUUAUUGACACUUUGUUGUGAAUGUUGUUUUAAAAUUGGAGUUGAAUCCUAAAAUGUGACGAAAAUACAGUAAGUUUGAUUAUAAAUAUUGAUAAGUUGUUUUGAAGAAUGUACUAUACAUUUUUCAAGCGAUAUUCAUAUCAAAUAAUGGAACAAAUAAUAAAUGUUUAAUAAGUAGUAA